GGCGUCGAGUGGCGGACGGGUGAGUAACGCGUAGGAAUCUGCCAGAUAGUGGGGGAUAGCCCGGAGAAAUCCGGAUUAAUACCGCAUAAUCUCCAUGGAGUAAAGAGGGCCUCUAUUUAUAAGCUUUCGCUAUCUGAUGAGCCUGCGUAAGAUUAGCUAGUUGGUGGGGUAAUGGCCUACCAAGGCGACGAUCUUUAGCUGGUCUGAGAGGAUGAUCAGCCACACUGGGACUGAGACACGGCCCAGACUCCUACGGGAGGCAGCAGUGGGGAAUAUUGGACAAUGGGGGCAACCCUGAUCCAGCAAUACCGCGUGUGUGAAGAAGGCCUGAGGGUUGAAAGCACUUUCAAUUGUGAAGAAAAGUUAAUAGUUAAUACCUAUUAGCCUUGACGUUAACUUUAGAAGAAGCACCGGCUAACUCCGUGCCAGCAGCCGCGGUAAUACGGAGGGUGCAAGCGUUAAUCGGAAUUACUGGGCGUAAAGCGUGCGUAGGCGGUUGACUAAGUCAGAUGUGAAAGCCCCGGGCUUAACCUGGGAACUGCAUUUGAAACUGGUCAACUAGAGUAUGGUAGAGGAAAGUGGAAUUUCUGGUGUAGCGGUGAAAUGCGUAGA
rnacentral:rRNA from 1 species